GAGACACCCCUCCGGGGCAAGACUUGCUUCAAUGGAGCUUUGGUGCUCACUGAGUCUGCCCCCUGAGUAUGUCUUU
rnacentral:pre_miRNA from 1 species